rnacentral:rRNA from 1 species
GAAUUACUGGGCGUAAAGGGUCUGUAGGUGGUUUGUUAAGUCAGAUGUGAAAGCCCAGGGCUCACCCUUGGAACUGCAUUUGAUACUGGCAAACUAGAGUAUGGUAGAGGAAUGGGGAAUUUCUGGUGUAGCGGUGAAAUGCGUAGAGAUCAGAAGGAACACCAAUGGCGAAGGCAACAUUCUGGACCAAUACUGACACUGAGGGACGAAAGCGUGGGGAUCAAACAGGAUUAGAUACCCUGGUAGUCCACGCUGUAAACGAUGAGUACUAGCUGUUGGAUUCGGUGUAAAGGAUCUAGUGGCGUAGCUAACGCGUUAAGUACUCCGCCUGGGGACUACGGCCGCAAGGCUAAAACUCAAAGGAAUUGACGGGGACCCGCACAAGCGGUGGAGCAUGUGGUUUAAUUCGAUGCAGCGCGAAGAACCUUACCUGGUCUUGACAUCCUGCGAACUUUCUAGAGAUAGAUUGGUGCCUUCGGGAACGCAGUGACAGGUGCUGCACGGCUGUCGUCAGCUCGUGUUGUGAAAUGUUGGGUUAAGUCCCGCAACGAGCGCAACCCCUAUUGAUAGUUACCAUCAUUAAGUUGGGUACUCUAUUGAGACUGCCGCUGACAAGGCGGAGGAAGGUGGGGACGACGUCAAGUCAUCAUGGCCCUUACGACCAGGGCUACACACGUGCUACAAUGGGUAUUACAGAGGGCAGCGAAGUAGCGAUAUGGAGCGAAACUCAGAAAGGUACUCUUAGUCCGGAUUGCAGUCUGCAACUCGACUGCAUGAAGUCGGAAUCGCUAGUAAUCGCAGGUCAGAAUACUGCGGUGAAUACGUUCCCGGGUCUUGUACACACCGCCCGUCACACCAUGGGAGUGGGUUGCUCCGAGAAGUAGAUAGCUUAACGAAUGGGCGUU